GCCGCUUUAGCUCAGUUGGUAGAGCAACGCACUCGUAACGCGUAGGUCGUCUGUUCGAUUCAGACAAGCGGCACCA
rnacentral:tRNA from 1 species